GAUGAAGAACGCAGCGAAAUGCGAUAAGUAAUGUGAAUUGCAGAAUUCAGUGAAUCAUCGAAUCUUUGAACGCACAUUGCGCCCGCCAGUAUUCUGGCGGGCAUGCCUGUUCGAGCGUCAUUACAACCCUCAGGCCCCCGGGCCUGGCGUUGGGGAUCGGCGGAGCCCCCCGUGGGCACACGCCGUCCCCCAAAUACAGUGGCGGUCCCGCCGCAGCUUCCAUCGCGUAGUAGCUAACACCUCGCGACUGGAGAGCGGCGCGGCCACGCCGUAAAACACCCAACUCUUCUGAAGUUGACCUCGAAUCAGGUAGGAAUACCCGCUGAACUUAAGCAUAUCAAUAAGCGGAGGAA
rnacentral:misc_RNA from 1 species